GAUGAACGCUGGCGACAGGCUUAACACAUGCAAGUCGAGGGGAAACGGCGGGGUAGCUUGCUUCCCCGUGCGUCGACCGGCGCACGGGUGAGUAACGCGUAUCAACCCUGCCUAUGACGGAGGUAUAACCCGGCGAACGUCGGCCUAAUCCCGCAUGGUAUCUUCUGCGGGCAACUAGAGACGAUUAAAGACGUCAGCGGUCAGGGGGGGGGAUGCUUCUGAUGAGCUUGGUGGCGGGGUAACGGCCCACCAAGGCUACGAUCAGUAGGGGUUCUGAGAGCAAGUCCCCCCACAUGGGAACUGAGACACGGUCCAAACUCCUACGGGAGGCAGCAGUGAGGAAUAUUGGUCAAUGGGCGAGAGUCUGAACCAGCCAAGCAGCGUGCAGGAAGACGGCCCUAUGGGUUGUAAACUGCUUUUAUGCGGGGAGAAAGUGAGGGACGUGUCCCUCAUUGCCGGUACCGCAUGAAUAAGCACCGGCUAAUUCCGUG
rnacentral:rRNA from 1 species